CGCAGCAGAGCUUGGAAUUAAAAAGCAAGGGAUUUAUAUUAAACUUAGAACCUUAGAUUGGCCUGCAGCUUUGUUACUUUCAAUGUUGUGAUGUCCCAGAGAGCUUCAAAGAGAGUGUAACAUGACACUAAUGAAAGACAAGCUGAUUUAUCUUUAACAAAAACAAAAAUUGCUGGAAAAACUCAGCAGGUCUGACAGCGUCCAUGGAUAGAAAGACAGGGUUAACGUUUCGAGUCCGUCUGACUCUUCUUCAGAGCUAAAGAGGAGGAGUAGAAAUGUGGUGAAAUAUAUUUAUUUGAACGAGAUGCGAUAUGAAGUGAGUCUAUCCCUGUGGCCACAUCCUCGAUUGCUGCCUCCGAUUUUGGCCGGAGAUCGGAUGAUUGUUCCUGACCGGGAUUGGAGUCUGGGCUGGUUCUGCUUUCCAUCCAUUCAGCUCCCCCAUCUUCCUGUUUUUCCUGAUUUUUCUGUUCCAGGGUCUGGGUUACAGCGGACCCCCACACCCUCCCCAAGCUCCUUCCUGCCGUGUCGAAAUUUUUAACCUUCAUCACUCUGCAUCAUUGUCCACGGUUGCUGCGCGUGGGUUUGAUUGCACUUGUUUCCUGCUGUUGUCUAAAUAAGGAAUAGCAAAAAUGUUGCAAACAAUGAGAUGGAUGCACCAGCACCUUCCAAACCCACGACCUCUACCAUCUGGAAGGACAAGGGCAGCAGACGCAUGG